UACGGAGGAUGCGAGCGUUAUCCGGAUUUAUUGGGUUUAAAGGGUGCGUAGGCGGAUCGUUAAGUCAGUGGUCAAAUUGAGGGGCUCAACCCCUUCCCGCCAUUGAAACUGGCGCUCUUGAGUGGAAGAGAAGUAUGCGGAAUGCGUGGUGUAGCGGUGAAAUGCAUAGAUAUCACACAGAACCCCGAUUGCGAAGGCAGCAUGCCGGCUUCCGACUGACGCUGAAGCACGAAAGCGUGGGGAUCGAACAGG
rnacentral:rRNA from 1 species